rnacentral:rRNA from 1 species
GAUGAACGCUGGCGGCGUGCCUAAUACAUGCAAGUCGAGCGAACAGACGAGGAGCUUGCUCCUCUGACGUUAGCGGCGGACGGGUGAGUAACACGUGGAUAACCUACCUAUAAGACUGGGAUACUUCGGGAAACCGGAGCUAAUCCCGGAUAAUAUAUUGAACCGCAUGGUUCAAUAGUGAAAGACGGUUUUGCUGUCACUUAUAGAUGGAUCCGCGCCGCAUUAGCUAGUUGGUAAGGUAACGGCUUACCAAGGCGACGAUGCGUAGCCGACCUGAGAGGGUGAUCGGCCACACUGGAACUGAGACACGGUCCAGACUCCUACGGGAGGCAGCAGUAGGGAAUCUUCCGCAAUGGGCGAAAGCCUGACGGAGCAACGCCGCGUGAGUGAUGAAGGUCUUCGGAUCGUAAAACUCUGUUAUUAGGGAAGAACAAAUGUGUAAGUAACUAUGCACGUCUUGACGGUACCUAAUCAGAAAGCCACGGCUAACUACGUG